rnacentral:rRNA from 1 species
AUAUUAAUAAGCGGAGGAAAAGAAACUAACAAGGAUUCCCCUAGUAACGGCGAGUGAAGCGGGAGGAGCUCAAGAUGAAAAUCGACUGCCCAAGCGGGUAGUUGAAUUGUAGUCUGAAGAUGUAGCGUCAGCGUGUGACCUGGGUAGAAAUCCUUUGGAACAGGGUAUCAAAGAGGGUGAGAAUCCCGUCUGUGACCCGGAGAUCGCCGCGUACGACCUGCAUUCCAAGAGUCGAGUUGUUUGGGAUUGCAACUCAAAAUGGGUGGUAAAUUUCAUCUAAGGCUAAAUAUGACCGGGAGACCGAUAGCGCACAAGUA